rnacentral:lncRNA from 1 species
AUCGGUAAAUAUUUUUUGUAAUGUAAAAGCUAAAUAAAUUCAUACGUACUAUAAUACAAAUAACCGGGAUAUGAAAUUUACUUUACAGUGACUCGUGGGCCAACAAGGAACAAAAGUGCACAAAGGCAAUAAACCUACAAUUUUUGGAGUAGUAAAGCCGACUAUAAUCCUUGACGAUAUUUGCUAUCCAUAGGCUACCUCGGGCCUGAAAUGGUUAAAAAGGUGGGUGGUGAGAUUAUAAAAUCUCAGUGAGUAAACAGAUACCAUCUAAAUCAUCUAAAGUCGAGUAAGUGGAGAUAGAUAAAACAGUUUAACAUACUGAAAUUCAUCACCUUUCAACUUGUUUCAACCAAAUAAAAUCAAUUCAUAUAAAUCGAGUAAUUAACAUGGCUUAUGAAUUUCUUAAAACUUUGGCUCGUGCCAAAAAUCAUUUUUAUACCCAGUUAUCAAGGAUGCCUUGAUCGAGGGCUAUCCCAACCGAGUCCGCCAAGGCUAAUAAAAAGUCAUGUACGCAUAAAUCAUAUUUUUAUUUUGAAAACAUAGUCGUUCCUUGGCGUUGGCUGAGUUCUCCCCACGUGGUGGUUGGGUAUGAAGUGAACUCUAAAGUUUGACCUCAGGAGUUACCCUACGCGCCUCUACAAUCGAGGUGCAUAUAUAUGACCAGGUUCCAUGCCCUUAUAAUAGGUUGGUCUACAGAACCAGCCCACUGCAGCAAGCUAAACCCACUAUAUAAUAAAAAUUCAACAGCAUGAUAUGACAAUUUUUUAAUUAUCCAGCCUAUCAAGGCAAACAAUAGUUUAUACAUUUCAACACAAAUACCAAUUUAGCCAUUCAUGCCAAUAUUGUCCUAAGCCAAACAAUUAGAACCAUAUAUUCACAAUACAUCAAAUGGUCUCCAAUUACUCUAUUUUCAAAGCCAUUAUUCAAUUUCAAAACAAUUUUUUGAAAUCAUUUCAUUAAAUCACAUUUGGUUUAUAAAAUCGAAAAAUUAAUCAUUUAAUUCAUUUUCCAUGAAAUUCACAAAAUCAGAUAAAAACCACUUUAGAUAAUUAAGACGAUAGUAAGGUUACUCACAGUACUAGGAGUUCGAUAUACUUCUAUUCUCGAUCUUCAAGCACAAUCUCUUUACCCCUGUUAGAGGGCUCACCACCUAUACAUCGUAUGUGACACGAAUUUCAAUAAAUUGUGUCAAUUUAUCAUAAACUAUUUCAGGCUCUAUAAAUCUAUGUGAAUGCACGAAAUGUGAUGCAAAAUGUGUGAAUAGUCGUUUACAUACGGUAUUCGAUCUAAUUCGCACUAUUCUCGGUGUAAUUGGCUAAAACGUCCAAUUUAACUCCAAAUCUAUUUCUUUCACUUUCUACACUCCAAUUAUACUUAAAAUACCUCAAUGAAUGUGAAUAUGAUUCAAUUUAUCAGUUUGAACCAUAAAUCGCACAUGUCUAUACAUUAGGUAAAAAUUCAGAUUUUCAUGCCAAAAUUUCCCAUUAAAUUUUUAGCCUCACCAAUCAUUAAAUACCACCAAAAUAUUAUGAAAUAUCAUCAAUUUCAACCUCAAUAUCCUCCCUAGAAAAUUCGGCCUCUUGUGGGUUUGUGAAGAACAAAGUGAUUCCUAGCUAGAUUUUCAUACUUUCCAUUACCAAACAACCAAAAACACUUAAUUAGCUUGAAAUCUAGCAAAAUCAAUGCUCAAAACCUCUCCUCUCAAAUUCGGCCAGUAUGGGUUCAUCAUGCAAACUUGAGUUCUAAGCAUGGAAAAUGAAAAAGAAAGCAUGCGUAGUGUAAAUCACAAGAUAAAAUCACAGAAUCUUACCUUUAUUAGCUUAAUCCCUUGAAAUCCCACACUUUUUCUUCAAUUUUCCCACCUAGGGUUUGUGGUCUUUCCUUUCCUCUUCACUUCAUGCUUUGGCC